GUGCCAGCAGCCGCGGUAAUACGGAGGGCGCAAGCGUUGUUCGGAAUCACUGGGCGUAAAGCGCGUGUAGGCGGCCGGGCAAGUCGGAUGUGAAAUCCCGAGGCUCAACCUCGGAACUGCAUUCGAAACUGCUCGGCUCGAGUCCCGGAGAGGAUGGCGGAAUUCCCGGUGUAGGGGUGAAAUCCGUAGAUAUCGGGAGGAACACCAGUGGCGAAGGCGGCCAUCUGGACGGUGACUGACGCUGAGACGCGAAAGCGUGGGGAGCAAACAGGAUUAGAUACCCUGGUAGUCC
rnacentral:rRNA from 1 species